ensembl:lncRNA
AGCUGCGGCGUGAUGUUCUGUCAAUGGCAAAAGACAACAAUAAAAAGCUGGAACAUACCUUUUGAACUAUAGGCCUAUGUAUGUAGGCUUCUACCUUGAUCCCAAGGAGUCCCCCUACUCAACGUGAUCACACUCUUAGAUUGCACCAAUGGGUAAACUUCGUCUGGAGAUGCAUGACCGAACAGAGAAAUGGCGUCAAACACAAAAGACGUCCGGUCCAUUCCAGCUCCUUCUGCAACCGCCAAGGCGAUGUCAAAAUCAGUUUGGAAAUACAAGGAGAAGUAGGCAGGGACAGAAACAUUUCAGAAACCCCGCCAGAGAAAGAGAACGGGGAAACAUCAGGUGUUUUGGAAGGUGGGGAACUUAAAGGAAGUGGUGGAGAAGUGUGUCAACCUGCUUUAGCAUCCACCUCGAACUCCACCAACCGCCCUCAGACCCCGGACAGCGGCGGCUCUACAAAGAGGCAGGGGAGUGGGGUAGGGUGCACUGACAAAAAUAUGAGGAUUGCUGUCCAUCAGGAGCCUUGGAGGGAUCCUGUCUGUCCGCAGGAAACCUGUACCCCUCUGGGUGCAGAGCUGGUGACGGAGGGAAAGACUAGCACCAGAACCAGCCCAAGCCCUGUCUGUCAGAGCCUGCCAGGGCUUGGGGUGUCGUCUGACAGCCAUCUGCAACCUGUUGUCCCCCACAAGGCUUUGAGCUUGACCAUUAUGG